AUGUUAAUUAGAAUAUUUGGUUUCUUUUAAGUAGCUACCGUUAGCUUCACAUUAUCAAACAUGUCGGAGGCACAAAACCGACUCCAAUCAACACAAACUUCACGUAAACACAUUCCCAUUAAUUGUUGCAUCACAUCAGCGAUAAUAAGAAAAUGUCCAAGUUCGUGGUUGGGUUGAAAUAACCUGUUGCCCCUCAUGUGAAAACAUCAUUCAUGCUUUUUAUUCCUUCACAUUUGAAUUCAUGUUUCCCACCAACAUUUCACUCGUCCUUUUAGACAUCACCUCGACCCAUCUAUAAGAUUUCCUCCCGCUGGAAGCACUUUACCUUUGAUGGUGUUGACGCAUUCUCCAAAGUCCCCGUUGCAUUCGAAGCCUUUUUAAUUAACAGGUAAUUGAAAACGCCGGCUUUGUGUGGCUUUUUUUUUUUCCCGUAUUCAAAGCAGCUAACCCGAACAACUGCGGCGGUCUUUCAUGUAACCGCUCGGUAAUUCAUCUGAACCAGAACUGACCUAGAAACAAGUCGUGGAGUCAUGCAUUUUAGCAUAUGUUCAACCACACUCAGGAGAGGAUAAAGAUACGAAACAAAACAGAUCAGCUGCUGUAUUUAUUUCCUCCACAUUUCUCUCUCUGACGCUUUGACGCCCCCAAAGAAAUUCAAAACUCACCUGCAAAGAUCCUGCAAUAUGAAACCGUUUGCCCUCAAUUUGUGCAUGUCAGAUGGGUUAUUGGCCUUUUUCAUUAUUUCUGUCCCUCGCCUACUUCUUAUUUCACCUCUUAUUUUUUCAUUUCUCUUUGUGAGCUGUAAUAUAUUUUCCUGAUCUCUUUCUCUCACGGUCCUUUGAGGUGCUUUGACAGCUAUUAAAACAGGGACACUCCCAUGACAUCAGUUUAAAAAAGGCGCUUACGAGUAAAAGCCAGGCAUAUUCGCAGCUACAUUCCUUGCGUAGUACAUAAAAAGGUUCUGACCCCCGAGCCUAUGAAAACCUCCAGCUCACCGGUCCUUUUUGCACCUGUGUAGCACCAGCUGGUGAUUUGUUUUUGUUGUGUUCAGACCCCAGCAGCGCCUACACCGAGCCCUGUUAUCUCCUCACGGCUCUUUGCAGCGCUGCUCCUGUGCUGUUGUUGAACACUGUAUUAUUUUCUAUAAGCAACAUCCAUAAUUCACAAGCUUGGCCCAUCAAAUAUUGAGUAGAGAGAUGGAGCUGAAAGGUCAGGAAGCUUACUUCUCAUGUAAGGCCCUUUAUAAAACCCUGUUUUUACUGAGUGCGGUCAUUUUUUUUUUUUUUUUUUUUGCCAGAGUGUACUUUUUUCAGAUUAUUGAGGUAAUACUUGAUCAGGCUUUACUCACUUGAUUCAAGGAUUCAAAGCGUUUUAUUGUCAUGUGUACAGUAAAGAUUCAAGUUUCUCUGUACAAUGAAAAUAUUACGGUGAAUUUAACCC